rnacentral:tRNA from 1 species
GGCCCGUUAGUGUAACUGGUUAACACGUUGCCCUUUCACGGCAAAGAGUACGGGUUCGAGUCCCGUACGGGUCA